rnacentral:tRNA from 1 species
UUGUAGCGUAAUGGAAACGCAAUGGAUUUCUAAUCCAUUAGAUGAAGGUUCGAGUCCUUUCG